GGCCUGGUAGCAUAGAGGAAAUGCAUCCAUGAUUUCUGUCUUUUCCUUAGCGCUUUAAUGGAGGAUUCCUGUUCGAUUCGGGACUGGGCCA